rnacentral:rRNA from 1 species
CCUACGGGAGGCAGCAGUGGGGAAUAUUGGGCAAUGGGCGCAAGCCUGACCCAGCAACGCCGCGUGAAGGAAGAAGGCUCUCGGGUUGUAAACUUCUUUUGACAGGGAAGAAUAGAAUACUGUUCCUGUCUAAUUAACCACGGCUAAAUACGGGGCAGCAGCCGCGGUCAUACGGAGGUGGCCAGCGUUUUCCGGGUUUACUGGGUUUAAAGGGCGUGUAGGCGGGUGGACAAGUCAGACGUGAAAUCCUGCGGCUUAACCGCAGAACUGCAUUUGAAACUGUUGAUCUUGAGUACUGGAGAGGCAGACGGAAUUCCUAGUGUAGCGGUGAAAUGCGUAGAUAUAAGGAGGAACACCAGUGGCGAAGGCGGUCUGCUGGACAGUAACUGACGGUGAGGCGCGAAAGCGUGGGGAGCAAACAGGAUUAGAUACCCGGGUAGUC